GACGAACGCUGGCGGCGUGCUUAACACAUGCAAGUCGAACGGAAAGGCCCUGCUUUUGUGGGGUGCUCGAGUGGCGAACGGGUGAGUAACACGUGAGUAACCUGCCCUUGACUUUGGGAUAACUUCAGGAAACUGGGGCUAAUACCGGAUAGGAGCUCCUGCUGCAUGGUGGGGGUUGGAAAGUUUCGGCGGUUGGGGAUGGACUCGCGGCUUAUCAGCUUGUUGGUGGGGUAGUGGCUUACCAAGGCUUUGACGGGUAGCCGGCCUGAGAGGGUGACCGGCCACAUUGGGACUGAGAUACGGCCCAGACUCCUACGGGAGGCAGCAGUGGGGAAUAUUGCACAAUGGGCGGAAGCCUGAUGCAGCAACGCCGCGUGCGGGAUGACGGCCUUCGGGCUGUAAACCGCUUUCGCCUGUGACGAAGCGUGAGUGACGGUAAUGGGUAAAGAAGCACCGGCUAACUACGUGCCAGCAGCCGCGGUGAUACGUAGGGUGCGAGCGUAGUCCGGAUUUAUUGGGCGUAAAGGGCUCGUAGGUGGUUGAUCGCGUCGGAAGUGUAAUCUUGGGGCUUAACCCUGAGCGUGCUUUCGAUACGGGUUGACUUGAGGAAGGUAGGGGAGAAUGGAAUUCCUGGCGGAGCGGUGGAAUGCGCAGAUAUCAGGAGGAACACCAGUGGCGAAGGCGGUUCUCUGGGCCUUUCCUGACGCUGAGGAGCGAAAGCGUGGGGAGCGAACAGGCUUAGAUACCCUGGUAGUCCACGCUGUAAACGGUGGGUACUAGGUGUGGGGUCCAUUCCACGGGUUCCGUGCCGUAGCUAACGCUUUAAGUACCCCGCCUGGGGAGUACGGCCGCAAGGCUAAAACUCAAAGGAAUUGACGGGGCCCCGCACAAGCGGCGGAGCAUGCGGAUUAAUUCGAUGCAACGCGUAGAACCUUACCUGGGUUUGACAUGGAUCGGGAGUGCUCAGAGAUGGGUGUGCCUCUUUUGGGGUCGGUUCACAGGUGGUGCAUGGCUGUCGUCAGCUCGUGUCGUGAGAUGUUGGGUUAAGUCCCGCAACGAGCGCAACCCUUGUUCACUGUUGCCAGCACGUUAUGGUGGGGACUCAGUGGAGACCGCCGGGGUCAACUCGGAGGAAGGUGGGGAUGACGUCAAGUCAUCAUGCCCCUUAUGUCCAGGGCUUCACGCAUGCUACAAUGGCUGGUACAGAGAGUGGCGAGCCUGUGAGGGUGAGCGAAUCUCGGAAAGCCGGUCUCAGUUCGGAUUGGGGUCUGCAACUCGACCUCAUGAAGUCGGAGUCGCUAGUAAUCGCAGAUCAGCAACGCUGCGGUGAAUACGUUCCCGGG
rnacentral:rRNA from 1 species